rnacentral:rRNA from 1 species
GACGAACGCUGGCGGCGUGCUUAACACAUGCAAGUCGAACGGAAAGGCCCUGCUUUUGUGGGGUGCUCGAGUGGCGAACGGGUGAGUAACACGUGAGUAACCUGCCCUUGACUUUGGGAUAACUUCAGGAAACUGGGGCUAAUACCGGAUAGGAGCUCCUGCUGCAUGGUGGGGGUUGGAAAGUUUCGGCGGUUGGGGAUGGACUCGCGGCUUAUCAGCUUGUUGGUGGGGUAGUGGCUUACCAAGGCUUUGACGGGUAGCCGGCCUGAGAGAGUGACCGGCCACAUUGGGACUGAGAUACGGCCCAGACUCCUACGGGAGGCAGCAGUGGGGAAUAUUGCACAAUGGGCGGAAGCCUGAUGCAGCAACGCCGCGUGCGGGAUGACGGCCUUCGGGUUGUAAACCGCUUUCGCCUGUGACGAAGCGUGAGUGACGGUAAUGGGUAAAGAAGCACCGGCUAACUACGUGCCAGCAGCCGCGGUGAUACGUAGGGUGCGAGCGUUGUCCGGAUUUAUUGGGCGUAAAGGGCUCGUAGGUGGUUGAUCGCGUCGGAAGUGUAAUCUUGGGGCUUAACCCUGAGCGUGCUUUCGAUACGGGUUGACUUGAGGAAGGUAGGGGAGAAUGGAAUUCCUGGUGGAGCGGUGGAAUGCGCAGAUAUCAGGAGGAACACCAGUGGCGAAGGCGGUUCUCUGGGCCUUUCCUGACGCUGAGGAGCGAAAGCGUGGGGAGCGAACAGGCUUAGAUACCCUGGUAGUCCACGCUGUAAACGGUGGGUACUAGGUGUGGGGUCCAUUCCACGGGUUCCGUGCCGUAGCUAACGCUUUAAGUACCCCGCCUGGGGAGUACGGCCGCAAGGCUAAAACUCAAAGGAAUUGACGGGGCCCCGCACAAGCGGCGGAGCAUGCGGAUUAAUUCGAUGCAACGCGUAGAACCUUACCUGGGUUUGACAUGGAUCGGGAGUGCUCAGAGAUGGGUGUGCCUCUUUUGGGGUCGGUUCACAGGUGGUGCAUGCCUGUCGUCAGCUCGUGUCGUGAGAUGUUGGGUUAAGUCCCGCAACGAGCGCAACCCUUGUUCACUGUUGCCAGCACGUUAUGGUGGGGACUCAGUGGAGACCGCCGGGGUCAACUCGGAGGAAGGUGGGGAUGACGUCAAGCCAUCAUGCCCCUUAUGUCCAGGGCUUCACGCAUGCUACAAUGGCUGGUACAGAGAGUGGCGAGCCUGUGAGGGUGAGCGAAUCUCGGAAAGCCGGUCUCAGUUCGGAUUGGGGUCUGCAACUCGACCUCAUGAAGUCGGAGUCGCUAGUAAUCGCAGAUCAGCAACGCUGCGGUGAAUACGUUCCCGGGGCU